rnacentral:lncRNA from 1 species
UCAUCCCGGAGGAUGGGAGAAGGAAGGCUUAUGCAGAAGCCCUUGCAAAAGCCAGGAAAGAGGAAGAGGCUACAAGAGCAACAGAGAAAUCUCGUCUAGCUGCGGAAGCAGCAAAGAUGCGCAAAGAAGAGUUAAAGAAACUUGCAAAGCAGGAAGCUGAGGCUGCCAGUUUUGCAGAACAAGCCCAAGAGAAGGCGGCUGCUGCAGGAGUUUCAGUUGAGACCUCUUAAGUAAAGCCCAAGGCAUAAGCUCAGGACUAUCUUGGGAAAACCUGAGCUCACAGCUGAAAUCAGCUGUUCAGCAACCUGCGGAAGCAGCAAAGAUGCGCAAAGAAGAGUUAAAGAAACUUGCAAAGGCAGGAAGCUGAGGCUGCCAGUUUUGCAGAACAAGCCCAAGAGAAGGCGGCUGCUUCAGGAGUUUCAGUUGAGAGCCUCUUAAGUAAAGCCCAAGGCAUAAGCUCAGGACUAUCUUGGAAAACCUGAGCUCACAGCUGAAAUCAGCUGUUCAGCAACCCGGCGAGGACUCUAAAGUGCAGGUCGCUACUGUGAGGGGUCAGGUUAGGGCUCGAAAUCUGCCUGUCCAAAAAGCUGUAGUCAAAAAAUCUGCUUCCUUAAAAUCAAGGGAGGUUCCAAAGCCAAAGGCCAAACAACCAGAGUCCAAGACAGAGGUCAGAAAGGUUUUUGGCGGGUUGUUUCAGCAAGAAACCAUUUAUGUUGAUGAUGACUAAGAAGAUUGGAGCUACAUAUAUUCUAUUCUCUGU